CCUACGGGGGGCAGCAGUCGGGAAUAUUGCGCAAUGGAGGAAACUCUGACGCAGUGACGCCGCGUAUAGGAAGAAGUUUUUCGGAAUGUAAACUAUUGUCGUUAGGGAAGAGAAAGGACGGUACCUAAGGAGGAAGCCCCGGCUAACUAUGUGCCAGCAGCCGCGGUAAUACAUAGGGGGCGAGCGUUAUCCGGAAUUAUUGGGUGUAAAGGGUGCGUAGACGGGAAAUUAAGUUAGUUGUGAAAUCCCUUGGCUUAACUGAGGAACUGCAACUAAAACUGAUUUUCUUGAGUAUUGGAGAGGAAAGUGGAAUUCCUAGUGUAGCGGUGAAAUGCGUAGAUAUUAGGAGGAACACCAGUGGCGAAGGCGACUUUCUGGACAAAAACUGACGUUGAGGCACGAAAGUGUGGGGAGCAAACAGGAUUAGAUACCCCUGUA
rnacentral:rRNA from 1 species